UACGUAGGGUGCAAGCGUUGUCCGGAAUUAUUGGGCGUAAAGAGCUCGUAGGCGGUUUGUCGCGUCUGCUGUGAAAACUCGGGGCUCAACUCCGAGCUUGCAGUGGGUACGGGCAGACUAGAGUGCGGUAGGGGAGACUGGAAUUCCUGGUGUAGCGGUGGAAUGCGCAGAUAUCAGGAGGAACACCGGUGGCCGAAGGCGGGGUCUCUGGGCCGUAACUGACGCUGAGGAGCGAAAGCAUGGGGAGCGAACAGG
rnacentral:rRNA from 1 species